rnacentral:rRNA from 1 species
CCCUUAGAUGUUCUGGGCCGCACGCGCGCUACACUGACGAAGUCAGCGAGCAUGUCCUACGCCGACAGGUGCGGGGAAUCUUGUCAAACUUCGUCGUGAUGGGGAUUGAUUAUUGAAAUUCUUGAUCAUCAACGAGGAAUUCCUAGUAAGCGCAAGUCAGCAGCUUGCGUUGAUUACGUCCCUGCCCUUUGUACACACCGCCCGUCGCUACUACCGAUUGAAUGGUUUAGUGAGAUCUUCGGAUUGGCGCCACUGCGGCUCAGCAAUGGGCUCGGUGGAUGCCGAAAAGUUGAUCAAACUUGAUCAUUUAGAGGAAGUAGAAGUCGUAACA